rnacentral:rRNA from 1 species
AUGGCAAUUGUCCAUACAUACGGGAAGCCAGACAUCUUCCUCACCAUGACUUGCAAUCCUAAAUGGGACGAGAUAACAAACGAGUUGCUGCCUGGUCAGACGGCGCAAGACCGACCUGAUAUUGUGGCUCAAAACAGUUGCAAGUGCAGAUAUCCACGGCCGUUCAAUGAGAACACAACACAGGGGAAGGACUCAUACCCAGUGUAUCAACGGAGAGACGAUGGAAGACGUGCUAAGGUCAGAGGGAAGAUGCUGGACAACAGAUGGGUUGUGCCUUAUAACCCAUACCUACUGCGGAUGUUCAAUUGCCACAUCAACGUUGAGGUCUGCUCUAGCAUA